AGGGUGCAUUAUAGAGCACUCGUGUCCUGCGUUUUAGACCUUGACAAAAUUACUGUGAAUGACAUUAUCCUUCUGAACACUUCCAGGUGGAGUGCCCUGAAGCCUGAAUGCAGUCAGUCAGCUCUAGAGGGGAAUGCCACCUGCAGAAAGGAUGAGAACCAUCUGCAUCAUGGGGCCUGGGGGCCAUGGACCACUGUCUGAGUGAUGAGAGCAAUUCACAUCUGCCAAAAGCAAAUGAUGUGUUGGCUUACUGUAAAUUCCUUGUCAAGUCCAGGUUUUCCUGCAACUAGUCAUGAGACUUGAUUUAUGAGGACAGAAAGGAACCACACACAGAUCAUGAACACACCUCAUCCUGGAUCUACAUCAGCUGCCCACAUCUCCCACUGCCCGAUUCCACAUUUGUCUCACUGCAGGGAGCCCGUGGCCACAGAGAUACUUCAAAGGCGAACACACACACAACACUUGAAACUCAGACGUUGAACACAUGCUGAACAGAAAAAUAGUUCAUACAGAGGGGCACAGGACCAUAUAAGCGGCGCUAACCCACGUGUCUGACAUCCUAGACACACUCUCUGGGAUGUACCACUGGUGGCAAUGUCCUCUUCUGGCUAAACUCAAGGCUUCCCAGUAGCACGCAUAAAUGGCAAAACUCAGGAAACAAAGGCCAUAGUCUGCAAAAGAAAGGGAAAAAGUAGCCUCAUUCGAAGAAGCAGAACAUAGAGCUCCUCAGCAAACAGAAAUGGCACAAAUGCGAACUGUUCACGGCUUGCAAAUACCAACUGCAGUGAAAUGUAUGGCAUUCACAGGGAAUUUCUAUUGAGCCCCAUACAGUUACAGAGGCAUUCUUCCUUAAAUGUGAGAGAGUUAAUGAGAAUAAUAUAUGUGCCACUUCAGCAUGAUGCCUGAUGAUCAUGCUGUGGAGUACGGAAAGAAAAACCUGCUUGAGAGAAAAUGCUGAUACCUUCCCAAGGCAAAUAAAAACCUGAAACUUGGUAUAUGCUUUUUUUCG
rnacentral:lncRNA from 1 species